rnacentral:lncRNA from 1 species
AUACGGGGUUCGCCAUCCCGAGAGGGGAGAACAGACUGUGAAACCGGCAGGACCGGCCUCCCCACGGUUAGCUCCGAGUCUCCCGCAGCUUGGCCCUCAGUCCCCUGUGGCUGCAAGAUGGCCGCUGGGCCAGCAGCGAGGACCCCCACGUCCCGUCCGGCCCAUCCGGUCCUGUCCCUGGGCAGCGCCCUGCUCUGCGCCCACAGCCAUGAGUAUUUCCCAAAUUGUUCAGGGAGGCCAGAUGGGUCAUCAGGGAAAAACCGCGAGUGGGUGUUUGCGUGGGAGGAGCUGCGGCCCGUGGGGUCCACAGUCUCUCGUGUUAAAAAUUAACGGGAGUCUAUGUUAAAAGGUUCAUCAGUUUAUCUGAACAAAGAGUGAUUGGUGAAAUGGAAAGCACCCAGCCAUGAUUUCUGGUCCACCAGAGGGGCAUAAAGGAAAGGCUUUCAUAAGAUGCAUGAGAAAGCAACCCAAAUUCAAGAAUUGGUUCCAGUUAUAUGGUAGCCUUAUUUGAACUAUCCAGAUGGAAAUGUCCUGGUUACAUAUUCAGAGGUUAAUUGCAUGUUUGUCAUGGGUUAAACCUGCAUUUUGCUUCAGGCUAAGAUAGUGUUUUAUAGGAAAUAUAUUUGAGUUAGGUUUUAGAUUUUUUUUUGUUUGUUUUUUGUUUUUUACCUAUGAACACAGGGCACUAGAGCCACUUUAGACUAAUUUUCUGAUCUUUAAUUAUUUUAACACUCCAGAGGAGGACUGGUUUUCUCCUGUGUUUUUUUAAUGUAUGGCAAGUGGAACCUCUAAUCGACCACCCUGUUUUUCAUCCUAACUCAGGCUUGCAGUAAAAUUAUCAGUUCCCACUUUCUUUGCUGCAUUCUCAAACGCAACACAUGAGACCAGCUUUCCCUUGCCAAUUUACAAUGCUGUUAACUAUAUGUCCUUUAUUAUACAUUUCGUUAAAGUUUUCUAUUAUUGGGUUUCUUUCUACUUCUCCCUACAGUUCUGGCAAUAUUUGCUUUUUAUAUUUAGAAGCCUCCCUUUUGGGUGCAUAAAUAUAUAAAGCUAUAUUCUCUUGAGAAAUUAACCUCUAUUAUUGUAUGGUAAACUCAUUUCAUUCUUGUGAGAGACAUUGCUAGAAAGUCUAUUUUGUCUAAUUUAAGCAUUACCAUUUCACUCCUUUGGUUAUUAUUUGCAUGGAAUAUCAUUUUCUAUCCUUUCACUUUUAGCCUAUGCUCUUAAUUCAUAAUUGAGUCUCUUGUAAGCAGCAUAUUAUGAGGUUUAAAAGAUUAAUUUAUCCACUCUGUCUGCUUUAGUCUCUUUUGGCUGCUAUAACAGAAUAUCACACACUGGUAAUUAAUAAAGAAUAGAAUUUUAUUUGACUCAUGAUUCUGGAGGCUGGGAAGCCAAAACAACAUUAUACUGGUAUAUGUUGAAGGUCUAGUUGCUGGAUAAUAACAUACACAAAGAUGUGAGGGAGAGAGAGCUUUUUUUUUUAAAUAUAUAACAGAUCCAUUCUUGUUAUAAUUAGCCCAUUCCCAUAAUAAGAACGUUAAUCCAUUCAUGAGGGCAGAGUGCUUAUAGCUUAAUUAAUUUUUAAAGGUUCCACCUGUUAAUUCUAACAUGUUGGCUAUUAAAUUUUAUCCUAAAUUUUGGAGAUGACAUUCAGUGUACAGCAGUAUCUGUUUAGUAGAUACUUUAAUCUUUUUAUUUGUAAGGUAGUGAUAGGUAAGCAGUUACUAUUGUACAUUUGUAGUUUUCUGUCCAUUUUAAGUUUGCUUCUUUUUUUUCUGGUUCUGUCUUUCCUGUGGUAUUGUUCAUUUUUGUUGAGACAAAGUUAUGCUUUCUUGCUCAGACUGAAGUGCAGUGGCAUAUCACAGCUCACUGUAGCCUUAACCUCCUGGGCUCAAAUAAUCGUCCCACCUUAGCCACCCAAGUAGCUUGGACUGCAGACAUGUACCACAACACCCAAGGAGAUUUGAUUCUUCCACCUUGGCCUCCCAAAGUGUUGGAAUUAUAAGCAGGAGACACCAUAUCCAAUGUGUAAUUUUUGUUGUUUGUGUAUGCUUUAAUUACUUUCUCUUUUUCUUUACUAUUUUUUUUUCCUACUGGUUAUCAUGAGACUUAUGUAAAACAUCUUGUAUUUUAAUAGUCUAGUUUAAGAUGAUAACAAUUUAUAGUAUUCUGAAAUUCAGUAUGUAUUUACCAUUUUAGUGACAUUUAUACUUUAGUAUUUUUCAUAUUGUUAGUUAGCAUUUCAUCAUAUCAAUGUGAAGAUUUCUUCCAGACCAUGGCUGGAGAAGGAAAGAAGGUGUGUUUUGCCUGAUUCAGGGACUAUAGAGAGAACCAAGUUCUGCAGGCCUGUCAUCUAAGUCUCAGGGCGGGGAGACCUUCCUUCCCCACGGGUUUGAGGCUAUGGCUAAGUGGUGAGCCUUGGUGAGACGCAGAAAGGAUCCAUCCCAGGCACUUGGCUAGAGCCCCUGAACUUUGACUCACCCACAGCCUCAGAGAACCUACAACCCAUAUUUAUACAUAUCCCUCCUAAGAACAGGCUGACUUCAAGAUGAAACAUUAUCUUAUCUGGGAUCUGAUUUUGCUACCCUCCAUCCUGUGCUUCCUUUCCAACCUUCUUUGUAAACUUAUUUUCUCCUCCCUAUGAAAUAAAACCCUUUUCCACCUAACCUUUGAGAUCCUCAAAGAUCUAAUCAUUUGUACUUUUUCCUUGUUACAACACUUCUUAAGUAACUUCUUAGACAAAGUCUAUAAACAGUCUCAGGACAAUAACAACUCCAUUCUAGAAAGAAUAUCCCAACUUUUCUUCAAUCUCAACCCCAACUGCAUCUGCCUGUCAACUUCCAGCUUACCAAAGCUCUGUAUCUUCUGACAGUGACAAAGGCUCCUUCUAUGGUUGGUGUGAGCAGACUUUGAUGUCUGCAGGGCAGACACCCAGGAAUAAUCAACUGGGCCUUCAGUGGCCCCCUUUUGCAGGGUCAACGUUAGCCUUAGCUUUUAGUCAACGGUCUAAGACUUCUACUUACCAGUUAAAGUCAUUCAAUUAGUUUUCAAUUUAAAAAAUACUUCAUGUUUGAAGAAUCCAGCAAAAAUCAUUCAAAUCUAAGGUUUAAAAGAGAGGAAAUUAUGGUCGGGCAUGGUGGCUCAUGCCUGUAAUCCCUGCAUUUUGGGAGGCUGAGGCGGGCAGAUUACCUGAGGU